GUUCACAGCUGCUCCAAGCAGUAGGGGGUCACUGAAGAUUAAGGGUCGCAGAAUGGUAGCGCCCACAACUGAUCAGCCCAGCCGAGACCCAAACACUGUCCACACACAGACAACUGCGCUGUACGGAUAUUUUUAGUGCGGACUGUAAGUAGUUUUUCGUCUGUGCCUUGAAUGUGUCUGCAUUUCGCCAGUGUCUGUGGGCCAUAAACUCCUCCGGCUAAUUAUGGCCACUAAUGAGCUUGAAAUGGCACUUACCAGAAACAACAGCAGAAGCAGCAGCAGCAGCAACGACAAAAUACACAUGUACAGGGUACUCACAUAUGGCAGGGCAGACAAGACGCGACUUCCAUUAUUUAUGAGCGGCAGCAAGUGCGAAAAUUUAAACACUAAUUCAAAUUAAAGUGGCCAAAGCCAAAUGGAGAUGGAAAUGUAACAAAUGCAACAAUUGCAGUUCUGCUAGAUUAGCGACAUGUUUAUGAAAUCCUUACCGCGAAGAAGGGGAAUACACUGUACGAUGCCCCAUCAUGAAUGGUUUUCCUGUAAGAG